rnacentral:rRNA from 1 species
UACGUAGGGGGCAAGCGUUGUCCGGAAUCAUUGGGCGUAAAGAGCGUGUAGGCGGUUCGGUAAGUCGGCUGUGAAAGUCCAGGGCUCAACCCUGGGAUGCCGGUCGAUACUGCCGGACUAGAGUUCGGAAGAGGCGAGUGGAAUUCCCGGUGUAGCGGUGGAAUGCGCAGAUAUCAGAAGGAACACCUAUUGCGAAGGCAGCUCGCUGGGACGUAACUGACGCUGAGACGCGAAAGCGUGGGGAGCAAACAGG